AUACGGAGGGUGCAAGCGUUGUUCGGAAUUACUGGGCGUAAAGCGCGUGCAGGCGGUAAGGUAAGUCAGAUGUGAAAGCCCCGGGCUCAACCCGGGAAGUGCAUUUGAUACUGCCUUUCUUGAGUAUGGGAGAGGAGAGUGGAAUUCCCAGUGUAGAGGUGAAAUUCGUAGAUAUUGGGAGGAACACCCGUGGCGAAGGCGACUCUCUGGACCAAUACUGACGCUGAGACGCGAAAGCGUGGGGAGCGAAUAGGAUUAGAAACCCGAGUAGUCC
rnacentral:rRNA from 1 species